AGUGAACGCUGGCGGUAGGCCUAACACAUGCAAGUCGAACGGCAGCACAGUAAGAGCUUGCUCUUACGGGUGGCGAGUGGCGGACGGGUGAGGAAUACAUCGGAAUCUACUUUUUCGUGGGGGAUAACGUAGGGAAACUUACGCUAAUACCGCAUACGACCUACGGGUGAAAGCAGGGGAUCUUCGGACCUUGCGCGAUUGAAUGAGCCGAUGUCGGAUUAGCUAGUUGGCGGGGUAAAGGCCCACCAAGGCGACGAUCCGUAGCUGGUCUGAGAGGAUGAUCAGCCACACUGGAACUGAGACACGGUCCAGACUCCUACGGGAGGCAGCAGUGGGGAAUAUUGGACAAUGGGCGCAAGCCUGAUCCAGCCAUACCGCGUGAGUGAAGAAGGCCUUCGGGUUGUAAAGCCCUUUUGUUGGGAAAGAAAAGCAGCAGGUUAAUACCCCGCUGUUCUGACGGUACCCAAAGAAUAAGCGCCGGCUAACUUCGUG
rnacentral:rRNA from 1 species